CAAACAGGAUUAGAUACCCUGGUAGUCCACGCUGUAAACGAUGGAUACUAGGUGUAGGAGGUAUCGACCCCUUCUGUGCCGCAGCUAACGCAAUAAGUAUCCCGCCUGGGGAGUACGAUCGCAAGGUUGAAACUCAAAGGAAUUGACGGGGGCCCGCACAAGCGGUGGAGCAUGUGGUUUAAUUCGAAGCAACGCGAAGAACCUUACCAGGUCUUGACAUCCAACUAACGAAGCAGAGAUGCAUUAGGUGCCCUUCGGGGAAAGUUGAGACAGGUGGUGCAUGGUUGUCGUCAGCUCGUGUCGUGAGAUGUUGGGUUAAGUCCCGCAACGAGCGCAACCCUUGCUAUUAGUUGCUAACAUUUCGGAUGAGCACUCUAAUGGGACUGCCCGUGACAAGCGGGAGGAAGGUGGGGAUGACGUCAAAUCAUCAUGCCCUUUAUGAUCUGGGCUACACACGUGCUACAAUGGAUGGUACAAAGAGAAGCAAAGCCGCGAGGUGGAGCGAAUCUCAAAAAGCCAUUCUCAGUUCGGAUUGGAGUCUGCAACUCGACUCCAUGAAGUCGGAAUCGCUAGUAAUUGCGAAUCAGCACGUCGCAGUGAAUGCGUUCCCGGGCCUUGUACACACCGCCCGUCACACCACGAAAGUCGGCA
rnacentral:rRNA from 1 species